GCGCUAGUGGUCCAACCUGGUUAAGACUCGAGCUUCCCAAGCUCGCAACCCGGGUUCAAAUCCCGGCUAGCGCA
rnacentral:tRNA from 1 species